UACGAAGGGGGCUAGCGUUGCUCGGAAUGACUGGGCGUAAAGAGUGCGCAGGCGGUUUUCUAAGUUUGGUGUGAAAUCUCCCGGCUCAACUGGGAGGGUGCGCCGAAGACUGGAAGGCUAGAGUGUGGGAGAGGUAAGCGGAAUUCCUGGUGUAGCGGUGAAAUGCGUAGAUAUCAGGAGGAACACCUGCGGUGUAGACGGCUUACUGGACCAUAACUGACGCUGAGGCACGAAAGCGUGGGUAGCAAACAGG
rnacentral:rRNA from 1 species